CCGAGCGAGGCGCGGGCUGUGGGGCUGCCGCCUGCCCCGGCCCCGCUGGCCCGUGCCCACGGCUGAGCCCGCCAUGCCUGGCUUCAACUACAAGUUUCUGGAGAAGCCCAAACGGCGGGUGCUGUGCCCGCUAUGCGGGAAGCCCAUGCGCGAGCCCGUGCAGGUCUCCACCUGCGGCCACCGCUUCUGUGACACCUGCCUACAGGAGUUCCUCAGUGAAGGAGUCUUCAAAUGCCCCGAGGACCAGCUUCCUCUGGACUAUGGCAAGAUCUACCCAGACCCAGAGCUGGAGGUCCAGGUGUUAGGUCUGUCUAUCCGCCGCAUCCACAGUGAAUAGGGCUGCCGCUGGAGUGGGCCACUCCGUCAUCUACAGGGCCACCUGAAUACUUGCAAUUUCAAUGUAGUCCCCUGCCCCAAUCGCUGCCCUUCUAAGCUGAGCCGCCGUGAUCUGCCUGCACACUUGCAGCACGACUGCCCCAAGCGGCGCCUCAAAUGCGAGUUCUGUGGCUGUGACUUCAGUGGGGAGGCCUAUGAGAGCCCUGAGGGCAUGUGCCCCCAAGAGAGCGUGUACUGUGAUUACAAGUGUGGUGCCCGCAUGAUGCGGCAUCUGCUGGCCCAGCAGGCCACCUCUGAGUGCCCCAAGCACACCCAGCCUUGUGCCUACUACAGCAAGGAGUUUGUCUUUGACACCCUUCAGAGUCAUCAGUACCAGUGCCCACAGCUGCCUGUGUCCUGCCCCAACCAGUGUGGUGUGGGCACCAUGGCUCGGGAGGACCUGGCAGGCCAUUUGGAAGACAGCUGCAACACUGCCCAUUCAAAGAUUCUGGCUAUAAACACAGGUGCCCUAAGCUGGCAAUGGCAUGACACGUGGAGGAGAGUGUGAAGCCUCAUCUGGCUAUGAUGUGUGCUCUGGUAAGCCGGCAGCGGCAGGAGCUGCAGGACCUUCGCAGAGAGCUGGAGGAGCUAUCAUUCAUCUCCCAUCAAGACAUCCGAAAGCGAAACUAUGUAGGAGAUGAUGCUGUCUUCAUCCGUGCCUCUGUUGAACUGCCCCGGAAGAUCCUCAGCUGA